rnacentral:rRNA from 1 species
UACAGAGGUGGCAAGCGUUGUUCGGAAUUACUGGGCGUAAAGGGCGCGUAGGCGGCCUUCUAAGUCAGACGUGAAAUCCCCCGGCUUAACCUGGGAACUGCGUCUGAUACUGGGAGGCUAGAGUAUGGGAGAGGGAUGUAGAAUUCCUAGUGUAGAGGUGAAAUUCGUAGAUAUUAGGAAGAACACCAGUGGCGAAGGCGGUCCUCUG